ACUUUUUUUUUUGUUGUGAUUGGAGCACUUAUCUCCAGCCGACAAUUUUGAGUGUUGGAACACUUCUCACUAUUUGUUGAUGCAUUUCUCAUCAUUUGUUGAUACACUCCUCACCAACCUUUACUUUUGAUCUUCCUGGAGCACUUAUCUCCAAUCUCUUCAUUAUUGAUGCACUUCAAAUUUUCUUGGAGCACUUCUCUCCAAUAACCCAUGAUAAAUUUGUGUUUAAAGAUUUCUCUUAUUAGCCCAUAAAAUCAUUGAGGCUCUGAUACCAUUGUUAGAACAAAAAUAAAUGUAGAAGAAUAAAUAACAUUUUUAUUGAAUAGAAAGAAACAAUCUGUACAACUCUCUUAAUUCAAAGACUAUUAAAUGUGCUAUUUAUAUAGCAAAAGUCUAACUAAAUACAAUAAAAUCUCAUGUAAAUCUCAAUACUUAGUCCAGAUUAGACCAUUAUUUUAAAAAUUGAAAUGCAACAACCUUAAAAUUUAUUAUCUCUAAAAUCUUGAAGGAUAUUAUGAAGACUAAAUCAAUCCUGUUUGAAUUAAGUUCUAACAUUCUCUCCCUUAAUUCAAACAUGGACUUAAAACAAUUUAUUUAUUAUUUUUUUUUUGAAUGGAGCACUUCUCUCCAUCUGGCAAUUUGAGUCUUGGAGCACUUCUCUCCAGUCGACAAAUUUGUGUGUUAGAGC
rnacentral:misc_RNA from 1 species